CCUACGGGAGGCAGCAGUGAGGAAUAUUGGUCAAUGGACGAGAGUCUGAACCAGCCAAGUAGCGUGAAGGAGGACUGCCCUAUGGGUUGUAAACUUCUUUUAUAAAGGAAUAAAACGAGGCACGUGUGCAUUUUUGCAUGUACUUUAUGAAUAAGGAUCGGCUAACGCCGUGCCAGCAGCCGCGGUAAUACGGAGGAGCCGAGCGUUAUCCGGAUUUAUUGGGUUUAAAGGGAGCGUAGAUGGGUUGUUAAGUCCGUGGUGAAAGUUUGCGGCUCAACCGUAAAAUUGCCAUUGAUACUGGCAGUCUUGAGUACCGUUGAGGUAGGCGGACUUCGUGGUGUAGCCGU
rnacentral:rRNA from 1 species